GACGAACUGUGCAAACGUUAUUCGGAAUCACUGGGCUUGAAGAGUGCGUAGGCGGUUUCGUAAGUCGGGUGUGAAAGCCCCCGGCUCAACCGGGGAACUGCGUCCUAAACUGCGGGGCUGGAGUGAGGUAGGGGUGUGUGGAACUUCCAGUGGAGCGGUGAAAUGUGUUGAUAUUGGAAGGAACGCCGGUGGCGAAAGCGACACACUGGGCCUUGUCUGACGCUGAGGCACGAAAGCCAGGGGAGCAAACGGG
rnacentral:rRNA from 1 species